rnacentral:lncRNA from 10 species
AUAUAUCCUGGAUUGAACUCUGACACACAGAAUUACCAACUUCUGUACCCAAGCUGCAAGACUACACCAGCCAGGUAAUAAAAUGGGAAAUUGCUAAACACACAUCCAUCUUCUGAGCGGUGCUAUCUUAAGUCUAGGUGGAAGCCUUCAAAACAGGAACCUGGUCAAUUGCAAACCUUCCUCCUAACCCAGGCUCCUCAUCCCCAGAGCCGGCUAUGAAGAAAGAUGGUUUGGGAACAGGGAAAGAAGAUCUGGUUAGGAGCCAUCCCGGCUGCUUGUCUCUUAAUGUCAGGUGUGUGAAAUCCCACUCAGUCAUUGGGGGACUCAACCUCCGGUUGGGGCAAGUGCUACUUCAGAAACCCCCUCACACAUCCUGGCCUCUACUCGUACACAAUAUUUUCUUUUUUUUAACUUGGCUGCAGUGAAAAAGAAUAUUUUUAGUAAGCUACUUGUUGUUUACCUAAAGCAGCCUUAAGAAGCCCAGAGCAGGGGAUCUGUUAAGUGAACGUAGAAGUGGAAGACAGAUUUGCCUCUCUCAGGCACUAGGGCACUUGGCUGUAGAGGGGUGAGUAUGGCAAACAUCAUGGGAAUUAUGAGUAGUGCGCCCACAUCCAAAGCUGCACGUGGGUUUUCCUGGGCAAAGAAACUCAAUGACUGUGCAUCAAGAGUGUACCCAGUCUGACAGCAGGAAAUUGACAGAAACGAACAGCCCCAAGCCCCAGGGCACAUGGAGGCACUCACCUCAGGCACGACAUUUCAGCAGGAGCCAAAAUCAAAAUAAAUAAUAUUUUAUUACAAUUUUUUAAAAGACAGGAUCUAACAGGGCCAGAUGAGGGUAAAGCGAGUGAAGUACGAUGUACAAGUACAGGGCUGGCUCCUGUGUUUAUUGAAAAUGUUGAUACUUUGUUAAUCAUGGAUCUUUUUGAAUUAAUUUUUAUUUUUAAAAAAUAUUGUGUGAAAAUAAUAUUUAUCCUGAGUCCUGAGCUCUUUGGUGCCUUCUUAAAUUUUAUACCCACAGUGAAUGUUUCACUUGCCUUCAAGUCUCCCCUAGACAUCAUUUCCUCACUGCGUGGGGAAUAAAUAUGGAAGUAAACAAACAAACAAACAAACAUCUUUCUGCCCUCAAGGAAUUAAUCCAAUGACUCUUCUUCCUUUGAAAAACAAAUAAAAAUAUUUAAGUAGAUUAUUGAGAAGUACUGGUAAUAAUAUAAAUUAAUAACCCAUUUAUGUCAGGGCUUCUGCUUCUGGUAGGAUGGGCUAGGCGAUUUCCAACAACCCUCUCACUGAAAACAACUAAAACUUCUGGAUUUAAAAACACACGCAUUUUAAAUGUGCCUAAAUGCAUCAGCAAGCUGAUAAGGUCAUAAGGAGCUCCGAGGCCAACAUCUCAGGAGCCCAGAGCUUGCACCAGAGUCACUGCAGCCUGGGAACAUGUGCUGCUUGGUGCAAACACUGGCUUUGAUUUUGGAAACCUCCAGGGUCUGGGGGAAAGGAAGUCAAAGAGGAAUUCUGGGGUACAGAGAGACACAUGCAGUGUCACAGAGACAAGAACAAGCAUGUUGUCCAUCAUAGAUAAGUUAAUGUCAAGAUGUGUGGGUACAAAAGAAGUACAAAAAAUAAAGGGUUACCCCAAGAAAGUCAAAACACAGAAUACAAAAAGGGCUGUUUUCAUGUUUGUUUUUUGUUUGUUUGUUUGUUUGUUUAGACUGAGUCUUGUUCACGUCCUGCUAAUUUUUGUAUUUUUAGUAAAGACAGGGUUUCGCCAUGUUGCCCAGGCUGGUCUUGAACUCCUGACCUCAAGGGAUCCACCUGCCUCGGCCUCCCAAAAUGCUGGGAUUACAGGUGUGAACCACUGCACCCAGCUGUUUUGAAAGGGGACACAGAACAGCUGGAUGCCAAAGAGAUGUCCUAAAACAAAAUGGGAUAGCCCAUAUACUCCUAAUAGGCUGGAGGUGGACUGAAGGAAGAAUCUAACAACAUUUCUGGCUCUAAAAGACAAAAAAAAAAAAAAAAACACAAAAAAAACAAAGUUACAGAUAAAUGAAAGAACUGAAGAAUAGUGCCUGCUGGUGUGCAUGACAUCAGUUUACCCCAGGCUACUUCAGCACACACUUGGCAGGCCAGCAGGCUGUUAUCCAUCUUGGACAGGGGCACGUGAACCAAGGACAAAGUGAAUAUUGAACACAUCUCAACACGUGGACAACCCUUGGGACUCAACUUUCUCACCCAGGUCCUUUGGUAAUAAAUGGAUUCUACUUUUGACGUGGAUUUUUGCUUAGAGAGCUUUGUAUCAUCUUGAAGAAGAUGCAUACAAAAUUGUAAACACAGAAGUACUAGUACCCCAUCCAGGGCCCCCAUGAAGAGCAUAGCAGAUCCUUCCCUGGUCUUGAACAGUUCUUUUUGUUAUGUGACUUUGGACCCUUCACUUUACAUUGCUAAGCC